CUUGAUCGAGCCGAGCAGCAGGGGCUGCCCGCCCUCGGCGCGCUCACGGCCGUACGUGGCGAGCAGGGCCUGCGCCUC
rnacentral:antisense_RNA from 1 species